UACAAAAAGAAAUCCAAAUUGUUCUGUAUGCCCAAUGAAAGAAGAGUGCAAGUAUUUUGAAAGUGCUAGGGAAGGAAAUGCUCUUCUACGAGCAUCAAGAAAAGGUUCAAAUAGCUCAACAGUUUGCGCUAUCGAAGAAAAUGACAUUGAAGACAAUUUCCAUGAAGCUCUAUAUGAGCAUUAUGUCUACGAGCUUCCUGAUCUGCACCCUCUCUUAGAAGCG